rnacentral:ncRNA from 2 species
UUCGACCUCAGAUCAAGCGAGAUU